CCUAGAACCAAUCUAAGGUGUAACCUGCCCAAUGGUUUUCAAGUUAAUAAGUAUAACCAUUUUAAAAGAAAACUUAAAGGACGCAGUAACCUGACUGUGAUAAUGUAGCAUAAUCAUUCGCCAUUUAAUUGAUGGAUAGUAUGAAUGGUUAAACGAGUUCUUCACUGUCUCAGAAAGAGAAACCAUGAAAUUAAAAUAAUAGUCAAGAUGCUAUUUAAAAUUGUAAGACGAAAAGACCCUAUAGAGCUUAACUAUAUUCUCUUUAAAAUACUACUAAAACAUUAAAGAGAAAGGUAGUUUAGUUGGGGCGACUAUCUUCUAAAAAAAACGAAGAUAAACAAAAUUAAUAAUGAAUUUACUGUAUAAUAUAUAAAUUUAACAGUUACAAAAGUAGGUUAUAUUGACCCGUUAUGUUAAAGUGAUAAAAAUAACGAUCAAUAAAUAAAAGCUACCUUAGGGAUAACAGGAUAAUUUUGUUCUAGAGACCUUAUCGAAAACAAAGUUUGUCACCUCUAUGUUGAAUUAAGAUAUCCUAGUAGUGCAGAAUUUACUAAGGGUAGGUCUGUUCGACCUUUAAAAU
rnacentral:rRNA from 1 species